UUACCAGCUCUUUCGUAUGGUAAACAUUUUUUCUUUUGUCGAUAAAUACAUUUAACAUUUUAAUUAAAAAAAAUUAAAAAAACGAUAAAAGAAAUAGGCGAUUUUGAUUUGCGGAGUAUCAAAUUUGACGGAAAAUGUAUUGGAUUGGUCGUCUGAUUAAAAACAAGAAGGCCAUUAUCAUCCACUAAGUGACAUAUGUAUACUUUAAGUCUAAUCAUAUCUCCAUUAUGUCUUUCUUUUUAUUUCAUAUAUCGCCAAGUUUCUAUGCUAUGGUGUGGAUCUAUACUUUGUCUUCUUUGAAAUGUCGUUUAUUGCAUAAUGUCUAUCUACGACUACACAUACGUUUAAUACA
rnacentral:lncRNA from 1 species